AGGAGGAGGAUGUGAUUAGUGUUUGCUGCCGUGGGAUGUCAGCUGGAGGAUGAGAGCUGUGUGCCAAGAGGAGGAAAGAGCUGCCAUGGGUGGAUGCCACAGACUCCAAACUGUGAAUCCCUGCUCCCGGACUCUGAGCUCCCAAGGUUGAUUUUACCACUUCAAUAAUAAGGGUGAGUGGAGAGGAAUCCAUCUCCAGAGCCACGUUACUGCUUCACACACGGCUGCAGCAGGCAACGGCGCCCGGCUCUCCCAGCACAGACAGCUACAAUGAAUGACCCAGGAGGCCCUGAAAGAACAUUUUGGAUUACAUUGCUGCAAAUGAGAGGUUUCAGUCAUGGUAUGGGAUGAGCUGCAGGUAAGCAGUGGGUUUAAUGUCAGCUUUUUUGGCAGCUUCUUUAUUCUCUCUCCACUUUGCACAAACAAACCAUCUCUGCAAGGAAGUUAAUUUUCCUUUUCAGCC